rnacentral:rRNA from 1 species
UACGGAGGGUGCAAGCGUUAAUCGGAAUUACUGGGCGUAAAGCGCACGCAGGUGGCUAAGUCAGUCGAUUGUGAAAGCCCUGGGCUUAACCUGGGAAUUGCAGUCGAUACUACUUAGCUAGAGUAUGGGAGAGGGCAGUGGAAUUCCCGGUGUAGCGGUGAAAUGCGUAGAUAUCAGGAGGAAUACCGAUGGCGAAGGCAGGUCUCUGGGCUGACACUGACGCUCAUGCACGAAAGCGUGGGGAGCAAACAGG